CAUGCACCAGUGGGGUCCCUCGGCCUGGCCUGCACCUUUUGGGGGAUGUUGGAGAGCUGGUUUCAGCUCGAUCCCACAGGCCAGGCUGAGGGACCCCACUGGUGCACA
rfam:Myotis brandtii contig318969, whole genome shotgun sequence.